AGAGUUGAUCCUGGCUCAGGAUGAACGCUAGCGGCAGGCUUAACACAUGCAAGUCGAGGGGCAGCGGGAUGUAGCAAUACAUUGCCGGCGACCGGCGGAUGGGUGCGUAACGCGUAUGCAACCUACCUUAUACAGGGGAAUAACCUUUCGAAAGGGAGACUAACACCCCAUAGUAUUGAUUUAAGGCAUCUUAGAUUAAUUAAAUAUUUAUAGGUAUAAGAUGGGCAUGCGUAUGAUUAGCUAGUUGGUAAGGUAACGGCUUACCAAGGCGACGAUCAUUAGGGGUUCUGAGAGGAAGGUCCCCCCACACUGGUACUGAGACACGGACCAGACUCCUACGGGAGGCAGCAGUGAGGAAUAUUGGUCAAUGGGCGCAAGCCUGAACCAGCCAUGCCGCGUGCAGGAAAGACGGCCUUAUGGGUUGUAAACUGCUUUUACAUAAGACUAACCGUAUAUUUGCGAAUAUACCUGAAUGUAUUAUGAGAAUAAGGAUCGGCUAACUCCGUGCCAGCAGCAGC
rnacentral:rRNA from 1 species